CCCGUAACGAGCGCAACCCUUGUCCUUAGUUACCAGCACGUUAUGGUGGGCACUCUAAGGAGACUGCCGGUGACAAACCGGAGGAAGGUGGGGAUGACGUCAAGUCAUCAUGGCCCUUACGGCCUGGGCUACACACGUGCUACAAUGGUCGGUACAAAGGGUUGCCAAGCCGCGAGGUGGAGCUAAUCUCACAAAACCGAUCGUAGUCCGGAUCGCAGUCUGCAACUCGACUGCGUGAAGUCGGAAUCGCUAGUAAUCGCGAAUCAGAAUGUCGCGGUGAAUACGUUCCCGGGCCUUGUACACACCGCCCGUCACACCAUGGGAGUGGGUUGCACCAGAAGUAGCUAGUCUAACCUUCGGGAGGACGGUUACCACGGUGUGAUUCAUGACUGGGGUGAAGUCGUAACAAGGUAGCCGUAGGGGAACCUGCGGCUGGAUCACCUCCUUA
rnacentral:rRNA from 1 species